UACGUAUGGGGCAAGCGUUGUUCGGAAUUACUGGGCGUAAAGGGCGCGCAGGCGGUCGUUCAAGUCAGGCGUGAAAGCCCCGGGCUCAACCUGGGAACAGCGCUUGAGACUGAGCGACUUGAGUUCGGGAGAGGAGAGCGGAAUUCCCAGUGUAGAGGUGAAAUUCGUAGAUAUUGGGAAGAACACCGGUGGCAAAGGCGGCUCUCUGGACCGACACUGACGCUGAGGCGCGAAAGUGUGGGGAGCAAACAGG
rnacentral:rRNA from 1 species